rnacentral:rRNA from 1 species
UGCCAGCAGCCGCGGUAACACGGGGGGCGCAAGCGUUAUUCGGAAUUAUUGGGCGUAAAGGGCGCGCAGGCGGUCUUGUCAGUCAGGUGUGAAAGCCCAGGGCUCAACCCUGGACGUGCAUUUGAGACAGCAAGACUUGAAUACUGGAGAGGAAAGCGGAAUUCCUGGUGUAGAGGUGAAAUCCGUAGAUAUCAGGAGGAACACCGAUGGCGAAGGCAGCUUUCUGGACAGAUAUUGACGCUGAGGCGCGAAGGCGUGGGUAGCGAACGGGAUUAGAUA